GAGAGGCUCCGUCGCCGUAAGUCCAAGGGUUCCUGCGUAAAGUUAAUCUGCGCAGGGUUAGCCGGUCCCUAAGGCGAGGCCGAGAGGCGUAGUCGAUGGGAACCACGUUAAUAUUCGUGGGCCAGUGGGUAGUGACGGAUGUUUACCGUCGUUCGGUCUUAUUGGAUUGACCGGGCGGCCGCGAUGUCCCAGGAAAUAGCUCCCACAUCAGACCGUACCCGAAACCGACACAGGUGGACUGGUAGAGUAUACCAAGGCGCUUGAGAGAACUAUGCUGAAGGAACUCGGCAAAUUACCUCCGUAACUUCGGGAUAAGGAGGCCCAUGCAUUGCGCAAGCAGUGUGUGGGGGCACAGACCAGGGGGUGGCGACUGUUUACCUAAAACACAGGGCUCUGCGAGGUCUAAAGACGACGUAUAGGGUCUGACGCCUGCCCGGUGCCGGAAGGUUAAGAGGAGGGGUGCAAGCUCUGAAUCGAAGCCCCGGUAAACGGCGGCCGUAACGAUAACGGUCCUAAGGUAGCGAAAUUCCUUGUCGGGUAAGUUCCGACCUGCACGAAUGGCGUAACGACUUCCCCGCUGUCUCCAGCAUAGACUCAGUGAAAUUGAACUCCCCGUGAAGAUGCGGGGUUCCCGCGGUCAGACGGAAAGACCCCAUGAACCUUUACUGUAGCUUUGCACUGGUAUUCGUGUUGGCAUGUGUAGGAUAGGUGGUAGGCUUUGAAGCCAGGGCGCCAGCCUUGGUGGAGCCAUCCUUGAAAUACCACCCUUGUAGACAUGGAUAUCUAACCGCGACCCUUCAUCGGGGUCCGGGACAGUGCAUGGUGGGCAGUUUGACUGGGGCGGUCGCCUCCUAAAGAGUAACGGAGGCGCGCGAAGGUAGGCUCAGACCGGUCGGAAAUCGGUCGUCGAGUGCAAUGGCAUAAGCCUGCCUGACUGCGAGACUGACAAGUCGAGCAGAGACGAAAGUCGGUCAUAGUGAUCCGGUGGUUCCACGUGGACGGGCCAUCGCUGAACGAAUAAAAGGUUCUCCGGGGAUAACAGGCUGAUGACGGCCAAGAGUCCAUAUCGACGCCGUCGUUUGGCACCUCGAUGUCGGCUCAUCACAUCCUGGGGCUGGAGAAGGUCCCAAGGGUUCGGCUGUUCGCCGAUUAAAGUGGUACGUGAGCUGGUUCAGAACGUCGUGAGACAGUUCGGUCCCUAUCUGCCGUGGGUGUUGAAGACUUGAGAGGAUCUGUCCCUAGUACGAGAGGACCGGGAUGGACACACCUCUGGUGGAGCUGUUGUCGCGCCAGCGGCAGUGCAGCGUAGCUAUGUGUGGAAAAGAUAACCGCUGAAUGCAUCUAAGCGGGAAACUUGCCUCAAGACGAGGUCUUCCUUGAGAACCGUGGUAGACCACCACGUUGAUAGGCCGGGUGUGGAAGCACAGCAAUGUGUGUAGCUUACCGGUACUAAUCGUUU
rnacentral:rRNA from 1 species